UGGGCUUUCUCCUACCUGCUCCGGAUUCCUACUCACGGCCAGACGCCCCUGGGGCUCCGAGCUCCCUCUGGAGGCCUGACUCAAAAAGCCUCUGUGUAAGAAGAUGAAGGGCUGGCCGCCAUGCCAGCCAAGAGGUAAUGCGGAGAGAUCACAUGUGUGAGCUGGAGCAAGUGAGGCCCUCUAAGAAUUUCCAGGCCCCCCCAGACAUCAGCUAACUGCAGCUUUCUACUCAUUAUGGAGUCCUCUUUAUGAAAACCAAGUAUCCACCAAACCUCUAUCUGAAAC